AUUGAACGCUGGCGGCAGGCCUAACACAUGCAAGUCGAGCGGAUGAAGGGAGCUUGCUCCUGGAUUCAGCUGCGGACGGGCGAGUAAUGCCUAGGAAUCUGCCUGGUAUAGGGGGCUAACGUCCGGAAACGGGCGCUGAUACCGCAUACGUCCUGAGGGAGAAAGUGAGGGAUCUUCGGACCUCACGCUAUCAGAUGUGCCUAGGUCGGAUUAGCUAGUUGGUUAGGUAAAGGCCUACCAAGGCGACGAUCCGUAACUGGUCUGAGAGGAUGAUCAGUCACACUGGAACUGAGACACGGUCCAGACUCCUACGGGAGGCAGCAGUAGGGAAUAUUCGACAAUGGGCGAAAGCCUGACCCAGCAAUGCCGCGUGUGUGAAGAAGGUCUUCGGAUCGUAAAGCACUGUAAGUUGGGAGGAAGGGAAGUGAGAUAAUACCUUGCUGUUUUGACGUUACCAAAAGAAUAAGCACCGGCUAACUUCGUG
rnacentral:rRNA from 1 species